GCGGGAUUAGCUCAGUUGGUAGAGCGCUUCGUUUACACCGAAGAUGUCGGGAGUUCGAGUCUCUCAUCCCGCACCA
rnacentral:tRNA from 2 species